rnacentral:rRNA from 1 species
UUACGGGAGGCAGCAGUGGGGAAUUUUGCGCAAUGGGGGAAACCCUGACGCAGCAACGCCGCGUGGAGGAUGAAGGUCCUUGGAUUGUAAACUCCUGUCGGCAGGGACAAAGGCCCGCGACCUAACACGUCGUUGGGAUUGAUGGUACCUGCGGAGGAAGCCCCGGCUAACUCUGUGCCAGCAGCCGCGGUAAUACAGAGGGGGCAAGCGUUAUUCGGAAUUAUUGGGCGUAAAGGGCGCGUAGGCGGCCUGACAAGUGGAAGGUGAAAUCCCUCGGCUCAACCGAGGAGCUGCCUUUCAAACUGUUUGGCUUGAAUCCGGGAGAGGUGAGUGGAAUUCCCAGUGUAGCGGUGAAAUGCGUAGAUAUUGGGAGGAACACCAGUGGCGAAGGCGGCUCACUGGACCGGCAUUGACGCUGAGGCGCGAAAGCGUGGGGAGCAAACAGGAUUAGAUACCCCUGUA